AUUGAACGCUGGCGGCAGGCCUAACACAUGCAAGUCGAACGGUAACAGGAAGCAGCUUGCUGCUUCGCUGACGAGUGGCGGACGGGUGAGUAAUGUCUGGGAAGCUGCCUGAUGGAGGGGGAUAACUACUGGAAACGGUUGCUAAUACCGCAUAAUGUCGCAAGACCAAAGAGGGGGACCUUCGGGCCUCUUGCCAUCGGAUGUGCCCAGAUGGGAUUAGCUUGUUGGUGGGGUAACGGCUCACCAAGGCGACGAUCCCUAGCUGGUCUGAGAGGAUGACCAGCCACACUGGGACUGAGACACGGUCCAGACUCCUACGGGAGGCAGCAGUGGGGAAUAUUGCACAAAGGGCGCAAGCCUGAUGCAGCCAUGCCGCGUGUAUGAAGAAGGCCUUCGGGUUGUAAAGUACUUUCAGCGGGGAGGAAGGGAGUAAAGUUAAUACCUUUGCUCAUUGACGUUACCCGCAGAAGAAGCACCGGCUAACUCCGUG
rnacentral:rRNA from 1 species